GUGCUCACUUCAGCAACGCAUACACUUAAAACUGGAAUGGUACAGAAAAGAAUUAGCAUGGCACCUGCUCAAGGAUGCAAAUUUGUGAAGUGCUUUCUGUUUUA
rnacentral:snRNA from 1 species